CCUACGGGGGGCAGCAGUGAGGAAUAUUGGUCAAUGGGCGGGAGACUGAACCAGCCAAGCCGCGUGAGGGAAGAAGGUACAGCGUAUCGUAAACCUCUUUUGUCAGGGAACAAAGGCGGGGACUAGUCCCCGGAUGAGUGUACCUGAAGAAAAAGCAUCGGCUAACUCCGUGCCAGCGGCCGCGGUAAUACGGAGGAUGCGAGCGUUAUCCGGAUUUGUUGGGUUUAAAGGGUGCGCAGGCGGCCUGUUAAGUCAGCGGUAAAAGCCCGGGGCUCAACCCCGGCGCGCCGGUGAAACUGGCGGGCUGGAGUGGGAGAGAAGUACGCGGAAUGCGCGGUGUAGCGGUGAAAUGCUUAGAUAGCGCGCAGAACCCCGAUUGCGAAGGCAGCAUACCGGCUCCACACUGACGCUGAGGCACGAAAGCGUGGGUAUCGAACAGGAUUAGAUACCCCUGUAGUC
rnacentral:rRNA from 1 species